rnacentral:rRNA from 1 species
GUGAGGUAAUGGCUCACCAAGGCAUUGACGGGUAGCCGGCCUGAGAGGGUGACCGGCCACACUGGGACUGAGACACGGCCCAGACUCCUACGGGAGGCAGCAGUGGGGAAUAUUGGACAAUGGGCGAAAGCCUGAUCCAGCAACGCCGCGUGAGGGAUGACGGCCUUCGGGUUGUAAACCUCUUUCAGCAGGGACGAAGCGAAAGUGACGGUACCUGCAGAAGAAGGACCGGCCAACUACGUGCCAGCAGCCGCGGUAAUACGUAGGGUCCGAGCGUUGUCCGGAAUUAUUGGGCGUAAAGGGCUCGUAGGCGGUUUGUCGCGUCGGGAGUGAAAACUCAGGGCUCAACCCUGAGCGUGCUUCCGAUACGGGCAGACUAGAGGUAUGCAGGGGAGAACGGAAUUCCUGGUGUAGCGGUGGAAUGCGCAGAUAUCAGGAGGAACACCGGUGGCGAAGGCGGUUCUCUGGGCAUUACCUGACGCUGAGGAGCGAAAGCAUGGGGAGCGAACAGGAUUAGAUACCCUGGUAGUCCAUGCCGUAAACGUUGGGCGCUAGGUGUGGGGACCUUCCACGGUCUCCGUGCCGCAGCUAACGCAUUAAGCG